rnacentral:rRNA from 1 species
UACGGAGGGUGCGAGCGUUAAUCGGAAUUACUGGGCGUAAAGCGCACGUAGGCUGCGUUGUAAGUCAGGGGUGAAAUCCCGCGGCUCAACCGCGGAACUGCCCUUGAUACUGCAGUGCUUGAAUCCGGGAGAGGGUGGCGGAAUUCCAGGUGUAGGAGUGAAAUCCGUAGAUAUCUGGAGGAACAUCAGUGGCGAAGGCGGCCGCCUGGACCGGUAUUGACGCUGAGGUGCGAAAGCGUGGGGAGCAAAC